CGAGGAUUCAUUCAGUAACGAAACACCGCUGUGUUGCUCGGAGACACAAAACAGUUCCUCUGUGGCUUUAAUUUGAGAUAUCUUCAUCAGCAAAUUGAGCAAACACAGUCAAUAUUGAGUCUAAAAUAUAAGUCACUUAAUUUUAACUUUUUGUUUAUUGAACUAAAAUUGUAUAAAAUCACAUUGCAUGCUGAAAUAUUCUGUAUCUAAAUCAUAUUAUACUUUUUUUUUCCUACCGAAGUAUGCAUCUAUAAUUUUUGUGAGUGCUGUUGCGCUCAUUUGUUUCUCUUACACACUCACUCAGGCUGCGCAAGCCUCAUCUGGCACGACAUCAAUACAUUAUCAGUCGUUGUAAGUGUGACGUCCAAAUAGAUCUGCUCAGAAACGGCAGACUGACUGCUGGUCACCGGUCCCUGGCCGGUCAGUCGUGCAUCUCUAGCUUUUUUCUGUCUAUUUUCUAACAACUCAACUGGUUACAUAUGAGAUUUCUAUGACUGUUCUACUUAAUGUCAGAUCAAACAUCUCAGCAAAGCAGUCUUUUCACUCAUCUGUUCUGCGUCUUGCUCUUGUUCUCAUUAUAUAUAUGUUUUCAUGUCUUUCAGCUGAAGAUCUGAAAGUGAGUUCACUCGAGAGGACACCGUCACCGUGGACGGAGAUGAAGUGCCCUUACAAGGCGCCUUACUCCGCAGAACGUGUUAACAUCCCUCUGGAUGUGUUGACGUCCCCAUUCUGAGAAGCAUUUUUUUUUUCACCGUGUGGCGAGAAACGCUGACAUCAAACUUCUGUCAGUGUUCCUGCGACUGUGCAGCGCCGUGGACGAAUGAAGAUGGCACUGGGUAUUCAUCUGCUGUUCAUAUGUAAAUGACACAUCUGAGCACUCUAUGAAGUCGAGCUCUUUGUGUGCAUGUGUUAAGUAGAAAUGUGAUGAGGUUACGACUGCAUCCAGCAAAACAAAUGUGUUUUUAAAGUAAAUGUAGGUGUUUGCCUUUGCAGAAAUCAUUGUUGUGAAGCUAUGCUGCUCUGGGUGGUUGCUAGGGCGUUGCUAAGGUGACCAGUGUUGUUGUUGUUUGGACGUUGCUAUGGAGUUGCUAGGGUGUUCUUGUUUGGUUGCUUGCUUAGUGGCCUCUUAGUAGUCUCAAAAAGGCCACUGCCUGUAAUUUAGUAUUAUUUAUAUACUAUUGUAGUAUUUAUUCAAGUUUUGAAUUAGCUUUUGUUUUUAUAUUUACAGUUUUAAUUUGAGUUUACAUUUUUAAUAAUUUUGUUGUGUGCUUUUGUUAUUUUUAGCAGUUUUUGUUUUUUAAAAAUAUUUAUAUUUAUUACAGUUUUUGAACUUAGUACUUCAACUUAUUUUACUUGCCAUUAAGGUUUUCUUGUGUAUUUUAGACGGAAUUUUCAGUGAGUUUUUAGUUUGAAUUAUUUUAAGUUUAAUUUUAUUUAAGCUUUAUUUCAAUUUAAAAAAUAUUAAAUGUUAAUGCAAGUAUUUUAGUAGUUUUACUUUCAGUUUUAGGCAGUGUUAUUUUAUUUAGGGUGGGUGGAGAGACGGACAUCUCUUGGCUGUUUCUAUUUAUAAAGCGUGACACAGAAGACCGCCAGCGUUGCCCACCCCAGUGACCUGUUCCUAACCCUUGUUUGCUUUCACGUAUGACACCCGUCUUAAAUGGAGCUCAUGUCAGUCUUACGAGCAUCAAAACUGGUUUUCAGUGACCAAAGGAUAUAUUUUGUUUCAACUGUAUACUGUUUGGAGAACUAUUUUGUCUAGGUUUUCUUGUGUAUUUUAGACUGUCUGUAUAAUAAAACCUUCUUGGAAAAGCAUCUUUACAUUUCAUCCUAUUUAGAGCACCCUUACAGAUGAAUUUACCAUCCAAGAUCAGGAUGAGUUUGUUUCUUCAUCAGGUUUGUAGAAAUGUAGCAUUGCAUCAGUGUCUCAUCAAUGGAUGCUCUGCAGUGAAUGGGUGCCGUCAGAAUGAGAGUCCAAACAGCUGAUAAAAACAUCACAAUAAUCCACAAGUAAUCCACAGCACUCCAGUCCAUCAGUUAAAAGCUUUUUAACUAAUCAUGUCUCAUCUAAUCAGAUUUCAAAGUCUGAGUAAUCAGUUUCAUCAUUUAAUGUAAUUACCUUAAAACAAUUACCAUCCAGUGCCAGCCAGUUGUAUUCACUCAUAUAUAUAUAUAUAUAUAUAUACCAAAUUAUGAUGAUGAUUUUGGACUAAAACAUUGUUUUUUUUAUAUUAUUAUUAUUUUACUUUUAUUCAUUUAUUUGUUUAUUGUCCACCCUAUAUAUAUAUAUAUAUAUAUACUAACCUAAAUUAUGAUGAUGUAUUUGGAACUAAACUNUUGUUUUUUUUUUUANAUUAUUAUUAUUUUUACUUUAUCAUUUAUUGUUUAUUGUCCACCACAGUAUGUUGUUUGUGCGGUGUCUUUUAUUUUAGUAGUAUCUCUUCACUCUUCAUUGUUGACAUGCUCAGUGUCAGAGGAAAGAGCAGCUCCUCUGUCCGCC
rnacentral:lncRNA from 1 species